rnacentral:rRNA from 1 species
AGUGAACGCUGGCGGUAGGCCUAACACAUGCAAGUCGAACGGCAGCACAGUAAGAGCUUGCUCUUACGGGUGGCGAGUGGCGGAUGGGUGAGGAAUACAUCGGAAUCUACUUUUUCGUGGGGGAUAACGUAGGGAAACUUACGCUAAUACCGCAUACGACCUACGGGUGAAAGCAGGGGAUCUUCGGACCUUGCGCGAUUGAAUGAGCCGCUGCCGGAUUAGCUAGUUGGCGGGGUAAAGGCCCACCAAGGCGACGAUCCGUAGCUGGUCUGAGAGGAUGAUCAGCCACACUGGAACUGAGACACGGUCCAGACUCCUACGGGAGGCAGCAGUGGGGAAUAUUGCACAAAGGGCGCAAGCCUGAUCCAGCCAUACCGCGUGGGUGAAGAAGGCCUUCGGGUUGUAAAGCCCUUUUGUUGGGAAAGAAAAGCAGCAGGUUAAUACCCCGCUGUUCUGACGGUACCCAAAGAAUAAGCACCGGCUAACUUCGUG